UACGAAGGGGGCUAGCGUUGUUCGGAAUUACUGGGCGUAAAGCGCACGUAGGCGGAUAUUUAAGUCAGGGGGUGAAAUCCCAGAGCUCAACUCUGGAACUGCCUUUGAUACUGGGUAUCUUGAGUAUGGAAGAGGUAAGUGGAAUUGCGAGUGUAGAGGUGAAAUUCGUAGAUAUUUGCAGGAACACCAGUGGCGAAGGCGGCUUACUGGUCCAUUACUGACGCUGAGGUGCGAAAGCGUGGGGAGCAAACAGG
rnacentral:rRNA from 1 species